rnacentral:tRNA from 1 species
AGAGGUAUAGUUUAAAGUAAAAAACAUUAAGUCUAUGACUUAAAAAUAUGUGUGAUUUUUCCUCUU